CGACAUGAUCUGAUUUAUUGAUUGUCUUGUUUUAGUUUUUUGUGGUUUACUUUAUGUUUUUGAUUAAAAUAUUAUUUUGUUGUUGUAUUGUUUUGAUUUAAUUAUUUUUACUAUAGGUUAUUUGUACCGUGAGGGGUUGUUAUGGGGUUUAAUGUUUUUUUAGAAGCUGAUUUUAUUUAUUGUACCUUGUGUAUCAGGGUUCAUUGAAUUUUAUUAUUUAUUUUUAUUUCCCGAUUUUAAAGGAGUUAAUGGCUUAUGUUAGUUACUGUUUCAUUAGUAUUAAUAAUAGGUGGUUGGUAGUGAAAUGUUAUUCGUCUUUAGUGGUUUCUGGUUUUUCAAGAAAUGAAUUUAAUUCAUACAUCUUAUUUAAUUUCUGUUGUUGAUUUAUUUAUUUUUAUUUGAUGUUAAGAUUAAGGGGGAUUAGCUCCUUAUUUUAUUUUUAUAAUUGGUUGUUGUUUAAUUUAGUUUGGUGGAUUUUAUGGUGAUUUUCUAUUUGAUUAUGUUAAAAUUUUAUUUGUUAUUUUUUUAAUUUUUUGUUAUUUAAGUUAUUUAUUGAAAUGUUUUCUUUACUUUUGGUUUGUAUAGUAAUUAUUGUGUAAUUAGUAAAUUUUAUUGAUUGUUUUGUUUGGUGGUAAAUGUUAAUUGCUUUUGAGGAAUUCGGCAAAGUUUUUAUGUCCGCCUGUUUAACAAAAACAUCUUUUCUUGUUAGUUUUUGAAGUAUGGCCUGCCCACUGACGUUGAGUUGAAGGGCCGCGGUAUUUUGACCGUGCAAAGGUAGCAUAAUCAUUAGUUCUUUAAUUGUGAUCUGGUAUGAAUGGCUUGACGAGACAUAAGCUGUCUUAGAGGUAUUGGUUAUUGAAUUUGGUUUUUGAGUUAAAAUUCUUAAAUGUUUUUAUGGGACGAGAAGACCCUAUAGAGUUUGACAGGUUUCUCAUUUAUUUUUUGUUUGUUUUGUUACGUUAAAUGGGGGUAGCUGUUUUGUUGGGGUGAUGGGAGGAUAAAAUUUAACUCCUCUUUGUUUUUGUAUAUUUAUAUAUAUUUUUUUGAUCCAUUUAUUUUGAUUAUAAGAUUAAAUUACCUUAGGGAUAACAGCGUUAUCUUCCUUGAGAGUUCUUAUUGGCGGGGAGGUUUGCGACCUCGAUGUUGGAUUAAGAUGAAUUUUCGGUGCAGGAGCUGAAAGUGAUUAGGUCUGUUCGACCUUUAAAAUCUUACAUGAUCUGAGUUCAGACCGGCGUGAGCCAGGUUGGUUUCUAUCUAUAGAGUUGUUUUAUAUCUUAGUACGAGAGGACCGGAUAUUUGGAAUAAGUUUCAGUUGUACAUUGGUUUUUGUUAAUGUUUUACUAUUUUGGCAGAUAAGUGCAUUGGAUUUAGAAUCUAUUAA
rnacentral:rRNA from 1 species